UACGGGAGGUGCAAGCGUUACUCGGAAUUACUGGGCUUAAAGCGGGUGUAGGCGGAGAUGCAAGUGUCUUGUGAAAGCCCUCGGCUCAACCGGGGAAUUGCUCGGCAAACUGCAUUUCUUGAGGCAGAUAGAGGUGAGUGGAACGAGUGGUGGAGCGGUGAAAUGCGUAGAUAUCACUUGGAACGCCAGAGGCGAAAGCGGCUCACUGGAUCUGUCCUGACGCUGAGAUCCGAAAGCGUGGGGAGCAAACAGG
rnacentral:rRNA from 1 species